GAGAGAGAGAGAGAGAAGGGCUGAUAAUCAAGACAACGACACAAAGAUGGCGACAGAUUCCACUGCGGGACGCCAACGGGAGUCCAGAUUAACAGAUCGUCCUGCGGAGUACCAGAACCGUUGUCCGUUACAACGGGACGACGAUCGGCCUGACACCGCGACACGACCACCACCGACCCCGCCACAUCAUCGCCACGCCAUGUAGCCUCCUAGAGGAGGACAGAGACCUGGAGGA